CCUAUCACCAAGAAUCAAUCUGCCUGAUGAAAGGUCGGUGUCCUCGCUGCCAGGAACAUGUAACCCGGCCAUUCGAACAAUUACAUCUCACCCGAAACACCUCCUGCGCUGGAUUCUAUACAUUUAACUAUGUUCCUGUACCGGAAAAGAGCUGUGGGGCACAGGUAUGGACAUUUAGAUGGAUUUCCUUUUCAUUUCUGACUUGUUUCAAUAUGUUUAUCUGUGUUCACAACAUGUAUUUCAAAUUGUUCUUAGUUAGUAAAUACUUGCCAGACUAGAAAUCGCUGUCAUCAUUUCAGACGGACGACCGGAGCCUAUCCGACCUUUUUUUUGAAAGAAAUCACCAAUCAGAAAAUCCGCAAAAUGUAAAACCAUUGUUUCAUUGGCCAAUACUAUUGAGGAAAAAGCUGACAGAGAUGACAAUGAACUUUAGGCUUAUUUUUUGUUGAAUACAAUGGGUUUAUGAUUAAUUCAUCAUAAACCCAAUCAACACAUCUGCAAUCUGUGACAGGUGAGGCAAACCUUAUCAUAAAAUGUGACAUGUCAUGAACAUUUAACGGUAGGUUAUUUAACUAAUUUUCUUAAACUUUCCACUUUGUCGGAUAACUGAGGCUCUCCGGAGAUAUUUUUGAUAUUGUUUUGAAUAAUAAUUUGCUCAUUUUAUUAUAGCUUCUAUGGACAUGAUCUCGAUAUGCGACAACAGUUUUUCUUCUGUUUCUCUGGUGUGUCGUGCCCAACGUUAAAGGUGCUGCUCUGGAGAACUUAACUAAAGCUAAGACCAAGAAAAAGCUAAUUCAUUAUAAAUGUAUGAACUAUUACUGGAAUAAUUCUCUUCCUCCUGAGAGAGGAGGUUUGAAGCAGCUGGACCUUAUCUCUCCUACGCCGUCAACACUUCCCUUCAAGGCCAAGCCACAGAGCUAAACCUUGAUAAGGACUGAGCUCUCUGGGUCAUAUUUUGCAUAACACUGACUUUCAGACUGUAAAUAACCGCACACACAUACCCCCUCACUAACCGCGCCCCCGUCGUUCUGCGUCUGCCUCAACAUGUUUCUUCAGCCCCACCCCCUGGUGUAUUUCCCGUGUCUUGAUGUUUCUAUACAUGUGCUUUGCCUUAACUUAACCUGAUUGUAAUUUCGCAUAUCUUCUUUCGUAAGGCGCAUUGAGUCGCCUUGUGUACGAAAUGCGCGGUAUAAAUAAAGUUGCCUUGCCUUUCCAGCAUGGCGCCUUUACUUUCCAUCACGGUGGUCUCUACAUCGCUCCAGGAUAAAAUCUCUGGAAGGUUUUCUCUGAUGACGGACCCCCUCACCAGAAAACCUACAAAAACAAUUGAUCCUGGAGCGAUACCACCGUGAUGGAAAGUAAAGGCGCCAUGCUGACCACUCAUACAGCCGCGAGGUCACUGACUCAACUACAAGGUCAAAUACACACAAAUAUCAACUUUUCUUUCGUGCAUAAAAAGUUGCAUAAUGCACCUUUAAGUGUUUGACGCGUUGAAUAUGUGACCUCUGACUGACUGUUUCUGCCUCUUUGUCUCAGAUGAAGACGUGACCGCCUCACUCGCCGUCAUAAUCAUCCCAUCACUUCUGGCGUCAAGCACUGCUUUACUGGUGCUCCUCAUUUUCUGCAGUCUGCACAAGAACAGGCAAAGGCGACCGAGGACAACAGGACAGUUGACAGGUAGAAUGAGAUUUUAGUCAGAUGAGUUUUGUUCGAAAUUCACUUUUUGACUGUACGUGCAUGUUUUAAGGCAAGAUACCUGAUUUCGUUUUCCUUUUUUUUUUCUUGUGAUGGAACGAAAUUUGUUUUGUCCUCCUUCAGUAUAUUGUAAACUCAUUUGUGGGACAACACUGCAUCUCAUUAUCAAAUUCAUGAAUUUACAGGCUAGUUUUCCAGUACUUUUAUGACCGUAACCCUGAAAGGUUACCCUGCCAGUCGCGAAAUGUGCCUUUAAACUCGUCCCUGUGAAGAAUCAGGACGCUACCAAUAUGUUAGGAAAGUUAGGGUUGAGUUAGGACCACAACUUACAUUUUAAUUCAGUGGCUUCCUCUUUCAUUAUUUGUAAUUUAAAAAUCAUAGGGCCUUUAGGUAAUCUUCUGUACUCUUUCCGUGUCUCGGUUUUAAAUCUUUACACCAACAAGUCAGUACAGAAGUUGCUCUUUUUUUUCAA
rnacentral:lncRNA from 1 species